CUAGCUGUAAACGAUGGAUACUAGGCAUUGAGAGUAUCGACCCUCUCAGUGUCGUAGCUAACGCGUUAAGUAUCCCGCCUGGGGAGUACGCGCGCAAGCGUGAAACUCAAAGGAAUUGACGGGGGCCCGCACAAGCGGUGGAGUAUGUGGUUUAAUUCGAUGCAACGCGAAGAACCUUACCAGGGCUUGACAUGUCCGGAACCCUGCCCAAAGGCGGGGGUGCCUACGGGAACCGGAACACAGGUGGUGC
rnacentral:rRNA from 1 species